AGAGUUUGAUCCUGGCUCAGGAUGAACGCUAGCGGCAUGUCUCACCCAUGCAAGGAGAACGGUAAACGGGGUAUCAAUAUCACGCCUAAAUGACCGCAGGGGUGCGUAAGACGUAUGCAAUCUGCCCUGUACUGGAGAAUAUCUCCCCAAAAGGGGAAUUAAUACUCCGUAAGAUCACACUAAGGCAUCUGACAGUGAUUAAAACCACGGUGGUACAGGAUGAGCAUGCGGAUGAUUACCUAGUUGGUAUUGUAUCGGUCCGCCAAGGCUACGAUCAUUAGGUGGUCUAACAUGAUGAUGCCCCUCACUGGGACUGACACACUGCCCAUAGUCCUACGGGAGGCAGCAGUGGGGAAGAUUGGACAAUUGAUUCAAGGCUGAUCCAGUCAUGCCGCGUGGGUGAUGAAGGCCCUAGGGUUGAAAACCCCUUUAUGCGGGGAACAUAAUAACCGGACCCUCAGAGGAAACCCCAGGUAACUUCCUGUGACCAAACGGUUUAA
rnacentral:rRNA from 1 species